CCAAGAGUCCAUAUCGACGGGAUGGUUUGGCACCUCGAUGUCGGCUCGUCGCAUCCUGGGGCUGGAGUCGGUCCCAAGGGUUGGGCUGUUCGCCCAUUAAAGCGGUACGCGAGCUGGGUUUAGAACGUCGUGAGACAGUUCGGUCCCUAUCCGCUGUGCGCGUAGGAGUCUUGAGAAGGGCUGUCCCUAGUACGAGAGGACCGGGACGGACGAACCUCUGGUGUGCCAGUUGUUCUGCCAAGGGCAUGGCUGGUUGGCUACGUUCGGGAGGGAUAACCGCUGAAAGCAUCUAAGCGGGAAGCCUGCUUCGAGAUGAGGACUCCCACCCACUUGAUGGGGUAAGGCUCCCAGUAGACGACUGGGUUGAUAGGCCGGAUCUGGAAGCACCGUGAGGUGUGGAGGUGACCGGUACUAAUAGGCCGAGGGCUUGUCCUCAGUUG
rnacentral:rRNA from 1 species